CCAGACUCCUACGGGAGGCAGCAGUGGGGGAUAUUGCACAAUGGGGGGAACCCUGAUGCAGCGACGCCGCGUGGGUGAAGGAGCGUUUCGGCGCGUAAAGCCCUAUCGGCAGGGAAGAAGGAGGACGGUACCUGACUAAGAAGCCCCGGCUAACUACGUGCCAGCAGCCGCGGGAAUACGUAGGGGGCAAGCGUUAUCCGGAUUCACUGGGUGUAAAGGGAGCGUAGACGGCCAUGCAAGCCUGGAGUGAGAGCCCGGGGCCCAACCCCGGGACUGCUCUGGGAACUGUGCGGCUGGAGUGCGGGAGGGGCAGGCGGAAUUCCUGGUGUAGCGGUGAAAUGCGUAGAUAUCAGGAGGAACACCGGCGGCGAAGGCGGCCUGCUGGACCGCGACUGACGUUGAGGCUCGAAAGCGUGGGGAGCAAACAGGAUUAGAUACCCUAGUA
rnacentral:rRNA from 1 species